UACAGAGGGGGCAAGCGUUGUUCGGAAUUACUGGGCGUAAAGGGCGCGUAGGCGGCCUGUUAAGUCGAACGUGAAAUCCCCGGGCUCAACCCGGGAACUGCGUCCGAUACUGGCAGGCUUGAAUCCGGGAGAGGGAUGCGGAAUUCCAGGUGUAGCGGUGGAAAUGCGUAGAUAUCUGGAGGAACACCGGUGGCGAAGGCGGCAUCCUGGACCGGCAUGACGCUGAGGCGCGAAGCCAGGGAGCAAACGGGAUUAGGAAACCCGU
rnacentral:rRNA from 1 species